ensembl:lncRNA
GAAUAUUUGUAUGGUCACAACAACCCAAUUAAACAAGUCGUCAUGCUUCACUGAGUUAGAGCAGAGUACUUUCUGUCCCAACAUGCUCACCCUGGGCAAUAUCUUUGUUACAUAACCUUUUCUUUUCAGUUUAAUUUAUUGGGGAACCAAGGUUUGGAGGCCUAUCUCCACCCACCACCACUUCCUCUGCCAGUGGCGGACUCCCUCAGGUAUCGGUGCGUUGGUGGUUCUUUUUGUCCGGGGAUGGGCGUCCGGGUACACACCAGGUCACUCCUUGGCGGCCGCUUAUCGGGGCCUGGAGCUCGCUCGGGCCACUUCGGAGGUGGGGUGCCCCCGGCCUCUCGGCCUGGGGCUUGGUCACUCAGGCACAGCUGGCUGCCGGCGGAGCUCACGGGCGCGUCACUGCAACUCCCCCUGGCUUCUGCUCCGUGGCUGCUGAGUGAGCCCUCAUCUGGGACUCUCCUCAGCUCUUUCUGGGACAGUGGCGCGGCUGCCCCUCUGUUGGUCUUCCUUGGUCUCUUGUGUUCUGGGGGCCUCUGGAUGUCUGGAGUUUUGAUCUCCUCCAUACCUGCUUCAUACCCUGGAGGACGGGGCUGUGGCUCCCCACACUCCCUAGCAGAUCGUUACAUGGAGAAACCUUUGGAAAACAAGCAUGCUGAUCCACACAGGUAUGCACACAGGGGUACACACGGGUAUUCACAGACGUGGACCACAGCUUCCUUGGCUGCUGCCUCAAAGCACAUUGUGCGCUGUCUAUCUUGCGUGCUGCACAAUAUCGUUUAUUAUUUAGUAUCUACUGAUAUCUACUGCUAGCUAGUUUAUUGUGAUGGUGCCGUUUUUUUUAUUAUGUUGCUCUUUGUUGUUUGCUUUCUCUUCUGUUUUUUUUCUCCAUACAGGUGACCCAGGUGUUUUUUUUUUUUUGUUGUUUUUCUUUUUUUUUUUUCUCUCUCUUCCCCCCCCUUCUCACCGUCUCUUCUCCCCUUUGGUUUUCUUUCUUUCUCUCCCCCUCUUUCUCUCAUUCAUUCCCCCUGUCCUAUUUAUUUAAAAAAAAAAAAAUGACAAAGGAUGAACUGAAGCUCUGCCAUCACGUAAUGUCGCAUACUGCUGUUUCUGAUGUCAUUUAGAAAAAAAAAAAAAAAAAAAAAAAAAAAAAGUAAAUCUCAUGGGCAGGGACCUGCUCGUGAAGUUGGGCGCCACAAUCACAUGUUCAGCAGAUGGAUUAUCUGUGACUUUGCCAGGGGGCCAGCAUUUCCCGUGCCUGGGAACAAAUUCAAAGACUCAAUAUCUGCUUCAAGACUGUGAGAGAGCAAAAGCCGACAUGUACUGGGGGAGAGUAGUGAAAGAGGAUGUUCUGAGGCAAUUUCAGUUGUGGAGACCCUUGAUAAUGAGCUUGGCAGUUUACCUCCCUCCGCGCGAACCCUACC